AUAGACAGCGAGAUCAGCCGCAAAAUUUUUUAAGGGUUUAUUGUUUUUCCACGACGAAUCGAAGAGUCAUUUUCUUCUUUGAUCUCUUGAGUGUCUAUAUUUCUCUAAAAUGGCUAAUUCAUCAAUCCUUUUACUUUGAUUAAUUUUGUCGAAAUUAGACAUUCUGUAAACAACGUCUCUUUUUGGAGACUCCGCCAUACAAACUCACCGAUAGAAAAUUCUGGAAACGUAACGUUUCCAAUCGUCACCUUCGAUGGGCUCAUUAACAAGAUCAGUGAUAACAAUGAUUUCGAUUUUGGUUUCUGGAAAAUGAUUUCAAUUUUGGUUUUGUUUGUUAACUUAGCUUACAUUUGUUCAUGUAUAGAUUAUCAUUUUUUAUUCCAGAGUUUUUGUGUAUCGAUGAAGAUUUAGAUUUGUUUGUUGAUCUCUUUGAUUGUUCCUUUUGAUUUCAUCAGUUUCGUCACCGGAAAUCAAGUAAGCAAAUCAUGAACAGGGAGAGAUGGGUUUGGGUUUGAUCUUGGACUCGGGGAAGGAUGAUGAACCAGAUCCAUAUACUCGCGGAUAUGUCUCUUUGUUAUGUAGCUAAGUGCUGGUCUUCUCAUCAUCAGAUGUUGUGGUCACUUCUUGGAAGGGAAUGCUCAUGAUUCAGUGCUGUACAGUUAUGGACAUGGCUUCUCAAGGUUUUGCAGCGAAACUUACCAAGUCCCAAGCCAAACAAAUAACAAAUUUACCAGAAGUUGUUCAUGUCACACUUGAUAGUUUAUAUGAACUGACAACCCCACUCAGAUUUGGGCGUAGGCCUUUCUGCUGCCAAUCCGAAAAAUCUUAAUAUGGUGAAGAAGUUAUCAUUGGCAAUGUUAACACAGGAGUGUGGCCAAAAUCUGAAGUCUUUAACGACAAUGGGAUCGGAGGGCUGCCAAAACGCUGGGAAGGAGGUUGUGAAUCACGAGAGGAUUUCAACUCCUGCAACGAAAAGCUCAUAAGAGCCAAAUAUUUAAUCAAUGGGUUCCACCCAUUCCUGGAACACAGUGUUUGCACUUUGCAUAUUUUCUUAAGUUUUUUCGAGAGGUAUCUUUUCCAAGUACUAUCUCCAUCUAAACGUUUUCUUUGUUUUUCAAAGGGCACUGACCAUGUUAUAGUUAUUUUGGUCCUCAUGAUUUGUGAAAUUACCAAUUAGGUUUACCCAUUAUGAGAUGCCUUUACAUUUUUGUAAAAGAUUUUGCUGGAAAUGAAUUUUAAAGGAAAGACACGAGACCAUGUUAACAUUUAAAGGA